GAGAUACAAAAAUUUAAGCUUCUAACUUAAUUAAUAGCAUUAGUGUUAAUAUCUCU
rnacentral:tRNA from 1 species